rnacentral:rRNA from 1 species
CGCGAAUCGCCCUUCGGGGCGCAGCAGGCGCGAAAACUUUACAAUGCGGGAAACCGUGAUAAGGGAACUCCGAGUGCCCGUAAAAUCGGGCUGUCCAUCUGUUUAAAUAACAGGUGAAGAAAGGGCCGGGCAAGACCGGUGCCAGCCGCCGCGGUAAUACCGGCGGCUCGAGUGGUGGCCACUAUUACUGGGCUUAAAGCGUUCGUAGCUGGUCUGUUAAGUCUCUGGGGAAAUCUACUGGCUUAACCAAUAGGCGUUUCAGGGAUACUGGCAGACUAGGGACCGGGAGAGGUGAGGGGUACUCCAGGGGUAGGAGUGAAAUCCUGUAAUCCUUGGGGGACCACCUGUGGCGAAGGCGCCUCACCAGAACGGCUCCGACAGUGAGGGACGAAAGCUGGGGGAGCAAACCGGAUUAGAUACCCGGGUAGUCCCAGCCGUAAACGAUGCGCGUUAGGUGUAUCGGUGACCACGAGUCACCGAGGUGCCGAAGAGAAAUCGUGAAACGUGCCGCCUGGGAAGUACGGUCGCAAGGCUGAAACUUAAAGGAAUUGGCGGGGGAGCAC